rnacentral:lncRNA from 12 species
AUGGCCAGUCCCCACGGCCCCUCUGAGGUCUGCGCUCUUGUGUCCCUGGGGCUCCUUAUCCGUGCCCCAUGCCCAGUGACCCAGGACAUGUCUGUGGGCAGAGGAAGGGACAUCCUGGCCACCAGAGUCAGGCGUGCAGAGCCCUUCCAUGGCCUCUGCCCCUGGCUGGCCGGGGCCCCUCUCAGCAGUGGCCACCCCUGCCCGCCUCAGGCCCCUCACUGCUCAUCCCUCACUCAUCUAAGCAGCAUAGUGACCUCCAACCUGGAGCCCGCCCUCCCCCCUCCUCCAGGGGCUCCUCAGAGCACCAAGGCCAGCGCCAAUGCCCAGAACCCCCACCCAGUGACCCCACCGGCGGCAGCGCCGAUGCCCAGCGACCCCCACCCAGUGACCCCAACGAGGCCAGCGCCGACGCUCGGGCCAGACCCCGUGCGCUCCCGGAAGAGCAGAUCACAGCGGCCCCUCCCGCGCUCAGAGUGCCACCUGCCCGCCCUGGGCCUCCCGGCAGCGUCCCCGCUGCUGACAACAGGGUGGGUGCCCGGCUCCCGGGGCUGCUGGGCAUCCGGGUGAGGGACAGAGGGUAGCCCAGAGGCCGGUGCCCUUCUAUCCCAGGGGCGCUGUGCUGCACGUCAGAAGCGCACACUGGGCAGGAGAGGCUCGGAAACAGACACAGGGGUGGCCUGUCGGGGACAGUGUGACGGAGGCCUUGCUGAGGGCUCUGAGGACUCACCUGGCAGUGCUGGGGCAGGUGAGCAGCCUCCCUGCCCAGGGGCCUGGGAUGGGCCUCAGGAGGCUGGGCCCAGGGCAGGCUGUGCCUGACACGGUGUGACCUUGGGCAGGGCCUGGUGCCCUGGAGUCAACCUGGCCCUGACACACCCCCACCCCCCCCACACCCCCGCUAGAACCUCAGUGCGGAGGGGCAGCCACAGAAGGGGGCUUGUGCCCUCCCGGGCAGUGGCCAGGGUGUGUCACGGGGGCCUGUGCUGUCCCUGCGGCCAGGCCCUACUUGGCCCAGGGUGCGUCCUGGCAGUGCCCAGGCCAGUGGUCCUCAGAGGCUGGGAGUCCAGCAGGUGCCGCCUGCCUCACAGAGUGACCGGUCCAUCUGAGGCACCUCUGGGUCAGGCCUCCGGUGGGAUGGGAGAGACUGGGGCUCCUUACACUGCUGCCCGGGCAGGCGCGGCCCCAUCUGGGGAAUGGGCGGUGCAGAGAAGCCUUCCCGGGCGCGGUCGUGUCGAGGAGCUGGGUGCACCCUGUGGGCUGGGCUCGG